CCACAUUGGGACUGAGAUACGGCCCAGACUCCUACGGGAGGCAGCAGUGGGGAAUAUUGCACAAUGGGCGCAAGCCUGAUGCAGCGACGCCGCGUGCGGGAUGACGGCCUUCGGGUUGUAAACCGCUUUUGAUCGGGAGCAAGCCUUCGGGUGAGUGUACCUUUCGAAUAAGCACCGGCUAACUACGUGCCAGCAGCCGCGGUAAUACGUAGGGUGCAAGCGUUAUCCGGAAUUAUUGGGCGUAAAGGGCUCGUAGGCGGUUCGUCGCGUCCGGUGUGAAAGUCCAUCGCUUAACGGUGGAUCUGCGCCGGGUACGGGCGGGCUGGAGUGCGGUAGGGGAGACUGGAAUUCCCGGUGUAACGGUGGAAUGUGUAGAUAUCGGGAAGAACACCAAUGGCGAAGGCAGGUCUCUGGGCCGUUACUGACGCUGAGGAGCGAAAGCGUGGGGAGCGAACAGGAUUAGAUACCCUGGUAGUCCACGCCGUAAACGGUGGAUGCUGGAUGUGGGGCCCGUUCCACGGGUUCCGUGUCGGAGCUAACGCGUUAAGCAUCCCGCCUGGGGAGUACGGCCGCAAGGCUAAAACUCAAAGAAAUUGACGGGGGCCCGCACAAGCGGCGGAGCAUGCGGAUUAAUUCGAUGCAACGCGAAGAACCUUACCUGGGCUUGACAUGUUCCCGACAGCCGUAGAGAUAUGGCCUCCCUUCGGGGCGGGUUCACAGGUGGUGCAUGGUCGUCGUCAGCUCGUGUCGUGAGAUGUUGGGUUAAGUCCCGCAACGAGCGCAACCCUCGCCCUGUGUUGCCAGCACGUCAUGGUGGGAACUCACGGGGGACCGCCGGGGUCAACUCGGAGGAAGGUGGGGAUGACGUCAGAUCAUCAUGCCCCUUACGUCCAGGGCUUCACGCAUGCUACAAUGGCCGGUACAACGGGAUGCGACACGGCGACGUGGAGCGGAUCCCUGAAAACCGGUCUCAGUUCGGAUUGGAGUCUGCAACCCGACUCCAUGAAGGCGGAGUCGCUAGUAAUCGCGGAUCAGCAACGCCGCGGUGAAUGCGUUCCCGGGCCUUGUACACACCGCCCGUCAAGUCAUGAAAGUGGG
rnacentral:rRNA from 1 species